rnacentral:rRNA from 1 species
AUACGGAGGAUCCGAGCGUUAUCCGGAUUUAUUGGGUUUAAAGGGCGCGCAGGCGGCCAUUUAAGUCAGCGGUUAAAUCGUGGGGCUCAACCCCAUUCUGCCGUUGAUACUGGGUGGCUUGAUUUCGGUCGAGGGUGGCGGAAUUCGUUGUGUAGCGGUGAAAUGCAUAGAUAUGACGAAGAUCACCGGUUGCACAGGCAUCUGACCUGAACGCAAAAGUCGACGAUGCUCUAUCGCGCGCGGAUCGAACAGGAUUAGAUGCAGUGGUCAUCUUAAGAGCAGACGAUUAAUACUUGUCUGCGGCAACAUAAUGUCGGCGCUAUAGCCAAAGCCAUAAGGAUUCACCCUGGGGAGUACGGCAGCAACGGUGAAACUGAAAGGCAUUAACGCGG